rnacentral:lncRNA from 1 species
CACUGUAUUCUGUGAGCAUUAUAAGUUUGGUUCUAUUAAUGUAAGAAUAAUUUCAUUUUCUGUAAUUUAAUGUUUUCUCUUAAGGUAUGCCUUGACAAUCUGCAUCAUUUUUUAAUUUGGCAUAGUAUUCCGUUCUAUGGAUGUUCCAUGAUUUAUUUAACCUUUGAUCUGCUGGUGAACAUUUAGUCAGCUUCAUCUAUUGCUGAACAUUUUGCUAUUCAACACAAUGCUUUAAUGAACACUCUUAUUUUUACACAUUUGUGUUCUUUAGAACCAAUUACUAUGAGUCAAAAUUGUGCAUAUUUAGUUUUAGUAGAUACAGUACUGCAAAAUAUUCCUCUAAAAAAGCUUAACAACAGUGCUAAUUUCCCUAUACCGUCCCUACCUGUGGAUACUAUCAGACUUUUAACUUUUUUGCAGUUUAAAAAGACAUUACACAUGCACUCAUACACACAAAAGCAGUCUUUGCUUAAAUGUCACCUUCUUAAUGAGGUCAUCAUGAUUUUCUUCUUAAAACUGAAAUACCACCCCCCUCAGCAUUCCUUAAUCCCCUUUACGUUAUUUUCUAUAGUUCUUACCACCUUCUGGCAUGCUGUUGUUUCUCUCCUUAUUCUAGACUGUAGGCUCCAAAAAGGCAAAAGUUUGGGUUUUUGUCCUGUUAAUUAUGAACAAUGCUUGGCAGAUGAUAAAAAAACUCACAUAUUUAUUGAAUUAAAUGGCCAUGGCAAUUGUAGAAUACACAUGAAUUUCAGCCAUAGCUGUUAUGUUUCUCCCUUGGCCCAUCUGUCCCUGGUUUAAAUACAUCUCACCUGACAAGAAAGUUCUCUUAAAAGUAGCCACAACUGCUUACAGUGCAUUACUCUAAGCAAAUCACCCAUGUCUGGCUAUUAGCAGGCCGUGUGGGAGAAGGAAAUACUGUCUGUAUACCAACGUGAUCAGCAGUAGGCUGCAUAUACAACAGUGGUUCUAUAAGAUUAUAAUGAAGCUGAAAAAUUCCUAUUGCUUAAUGAUGUCAUACCCCGUUGUAAUGCUCAUGAUAUUGUGGCAGAACACUUUACUUUGUCUAUGUUAAGAUACACAAAUACCAUUGUGUUACAGUUGUCUACUGUAUUCAGUACAGUAACAUGUACAAGUUUAUAGCCUAGGCCCAGUACACUCUACCAUAUAGCCUAGGUUUAUAUUAGGCUAUACCAUCUAGGUUUGUGUAAGAGGCUAUACCAUCUAGGUUUGUGUUAGUACACUCUUAGGAUGUUUGCACCAUGACAGAACCACCUAAUGAUGCAUUUCUCAGAACAUAUCCCAUCAUUAAGAAACACAUGACUGUACUCCUUCCUACUCUGGACUCCCAGGGCAGCUGAUUAUCAACAAAGUGUAGCCCAGCCAGUGCUGGCCAUCCAACCUUGCUUAUUUUAGCCCUUCCCUUCCUGUUUCUUUCUUGCCAAUGCCUAAGGGGGCCUAGAAACAAGAACCAACCCUAUUAAAACAGACAUUCUAUCCAGGCAAGUGACUGGCACUAAUCUCCCCCACACUAGGUGCAGCCCACUCCCUACCAUCCCUUUGGCUCCACACCCUUUACAGUAACAAUGGCAGCUUAGUCAAACAGAGAACUGAGGUUUGGUAGAGCACCAAGUUUCAUUGUUUUUGUCAGGCCAGAUUUUGGAUGUGAAAGAGUUAUCAGACUAAGAGAAAACAAAGGAUAGUGACAGUUCAGAGUAGCUGGAGUUGCUUACACUAUAUAACAGCUAAGAGUUGUUUAUCUACCACUUUAGCAUUUUGGUGAUACAUAUAAAAAUCCUUAGCUCCUAUGUAUUUCCUUCACAUUUAUCAACAUCUAUAAUGUCCUCCCUUUCAGUGGCGUAUCAUGUCAGGUUUGCUUCAAAUAAAGAAAUGUGAUCAUAAUGAAUAUUUUCACUGUGAUGUAUUUAAUGGAGAGGCUAGGUGGUGGUUUUGAUAGUUCAAUUCAAGGCUAAUCAGGGGGUCUGCAAUGCUAGUAACCUUCAUCCUAACCUGGAAAAAAAAAAAAAGGCAGUGAUCACUAGGUACCACUGGCAGGCCUAAAAAGAAAAGAAUAUGGUAGGAGAAGCUGUGCAGUCUAAGGAAAUUGUGUAUUGUAUUUAUUUCACAUUCCAUUUAGUGAUGAGUUGCUUUAUUCCUGGUCCAUUACUUAUUUCAUCAUCUCUCCCUGCUAGAGCAGUAUAGGGGUGAAGUUUGAUGACAAAGUUCUGGAAAGCAGAUAGAGGUUUUCAGGAACUUAGACGUUCCAGAGUAAGAAUCUGAGCAAGAGAGAGGAAGAGACUUGAAUACAGAGUAGGAAGCUUUUAUUAGGAAUGUCAAAGUAGUGGAGCGGGAAUAACAAAAACCAGAAGAAGCUUCACUUGAUUAUAAUUAAUUUGCAGUGGUUGGUAAAGGCAGGCACCAAGCCAGAUUCACCACUUUAUAAAUAAUAAAUCUGUGGGGGUGAUGUUGUGAAAGAUGCAUGGUAAGGUUGCAUCAGCAAGGUGAAUCACUGAGUGGGUGGGACCGUCUAGAAAAGCAUCUGUGUUUGGAAAGGGAUCAUUCUACAGCUUAGUCCAGAACACCUUGAACACACAGCAUAGCAGAAUCUUGACUGUAAUACUUGGAGCAAAUGUCACUGGCAAAAAUGGCAUAUAUGCUGGGAUGUUCAUAACAAAUAGUUAAAUAUUGUUGGUCCUUUCGCAUAUAGAAUCUCGGUAUUAGAGGAAAAUAGUAAACUGAAACUCUAUUUCUGUUCUGCAAGAGCCAAUUUCACCUAUUGUAUUACUUCGUUACCAAUUGCAGCUGUGUAGUCAGUCAUCCAUAGGAUUCUUUUUGUUAGACACAAAGUAGAAACCAGCUGUUGGCCGUUGAGACAAGUAGGAAUCUUAGGAAAUGUUAGCCUGCCAGUUCCUACUUUUCCUAACUACCUGCCUCACCACCCCCAUCAAAUGGUGGUCAUGUUUUUUGUCACCCACCAUUCAGGGGAGAUGCUAUCAACGAACCACGCUGGCUACACACAAAUACCUUUUCCUCAGAUGAUAUUAAUCAUCUUUGCCUUAAAAACUGAAGCUCUACCAAGUUUUCACUAUGAGAGAAAAAAAAUUACAACACCUAGCCUUGUAGUUAACACCACAACUGACUAAUGGAAGUUGACAAGAUCUAAAUGCUUAUACAAACUAUCCCAAGGUCACAGGAAAUUAAUGGCAAUAUUAUACAAGGUUAGGGUAGUUCACUUUCUAUAGGAAUUUGGAUUUUACUUCUUAAACUACAAUGGAAAUGUCUCAGGCAGUCUGCUUUGGGAAUGUAUUCUUGAAUAAUACUGAUUUCUCAUUGAAGGAAAAAACACUAUAUCCAACAACUCAGAUAUGGCAGAAGUGAAGUCAAUGUUCCGGGAAGUUCUUCCAAAGCAAGGUAUGUACAUCACAAAUAUUGAGGUCAUUGAUUAUUACAGGACUAAAGAAGUCAUAGGCAGUGUCACAUAGCAGGCUUAAUAGCUAAACAUCUGCAGCUAUUGUGUUCCGUAUUAUCUCAUUUACUGUCUUUUACUAUAUGCUUUUUCAUGACAUCCAGUAAAAGGAUAACAAAUGAAACAUUGUUUCUUAUACCUAAAAUUGCCUAUUAAUUAGCUAAUUCCUAAAAUUCCUAAUUACAAUAUGAAUUUUUUUUAAGAGACAGGUUGUCACUCUGCCACCCAGGCUUGGGUACAGCUGGCACAACCGUAGCUCACCGCAGCCUUGAACUACUGGGCUCCUGCCCUAGCCUACUGAUUUGCUAGUACUACAGGCAUGUGCUACCAUGCCUGGCUAAUUUGUUCUUAUUUUUGUAGAGAAGGGAUCUCAAUGUGUUGCCUAGGCUGGUCUCAAACCCCUGGGCUCAAACAAACAAUCCAACCCCUUUGGCAUCCCAAAGUGCUGGGAUAACAGGUAAGAGCUACCAUGCCCUACUCAAUAUGAAACUUCAGUGAAAGAAAUAAUGGAAUUUACUAUGUUAAAUAAGGUCUGAAAGUGGAGAAAGAGAAACCUGAAGCAACAGUAAGAAAAGCCGAAGGUUUAAACCUUCAGUCAUUUGAAUAUUUACGUUAAAUAUCAUAUUUUGCUAUAUUUUUUUGCACUAUGUAUAUAUAUAUUCUGCCAAAUCUUAUUUUAAGAUUAAACUUCUGACACAAAAAGUUGUGUCUUAUGGUAGCAUAGAUUCUUGGGUAGAACGCUCAAAACUUGUCUUCCUCAGAAGCACCCUACUAGUAAGAAAUGCGCUUAUAGAAUGACAAUGAUCUUUCUGGUUCCAGAGCAAAACUCAAUUUAGGUACAAGAGUUUUUCAGUGACAAGAGAUUAAUUUUUUAGACCUUCAUUCUAGCUGCAAAUCCAACUACAAACAACUGGGUUAUCUUUCUUGAAUUAAUUCUUAUUUCUUGUUAAACUUAGGGCCACUGUUUGUGGAAGAUAUAAUGACAAUGGUGCUGUGUAAACCCAAACUUUUACCCUUAAAAUCUCUGACUCUGGAAAAACUAGAGAAAAUGCAUCAAGCAGCACAGAAUACAAUUCGCCAACAAGAAAUGGCAGAAAAGGAUCAACGGCAAAUAACCCACUGAAUGAUAACUGAGCACUUUAGGGAACAACCUGCCUUAUCUACUAUUUAACAAUAACUAGAAAAUAUGCUUCUGUGUGCUGAAAGUAGUAUGUGUUAUCAAUAAAAUUGAUAGUAUUCAUAGAAAUAC